AAAUAUUACAUUACUCAGAAAUUUAAUUUAAUAUCCUUUUUCAACCUUCUCGUUGUUAUUUCUUUUUGUUCCUUUGGUGUUUCUUCAACCCUUGUUUGUUGUUGCACAGCAUAUACAAUUUAGUGAUUUCGACUAGUCUUUGUUGGUUGCUCCUAUUGACUCCUAUUCUUUGCUGCAGGGAUUUCGUUGCAGAGUAUAUUAAAGGACGUCCAAUUCAUUGUCGUGGAUUGACUUGAUCAUGAUAUUGCUUAUUCUUAGUAAUGAUUGCUGCAAUUGAUGACUAGGGAAUGGACUGGAUGUAUUUGCCCAUUGUCAAUCUUUGUAAAUGAUGUUUAGUGGGUCAAACGCUGCAAAUUCUUGCAACAUAUUUAAGUGGAAGUGGCAUGGUGAAUCUUCUUUGACUGCAAGAUUGCUUAACGAUGUACCUCCAGAGAUUGAAUUAUCUUAUUACAGAAGGGUACCAAGUCCUGGUAGCGAGAGCCCUUCAGGGCUUCUUAAUGGUGAGAGUUUGAAUGUGGAACCAAUUGCGGAUUUGGACCUUUUCUUGUAAAGGCUCUACAGCUACUAUUGUGAGAAAGGGCUCUGGUGUAUCAUUAUAAAAUGGAUUGUUGAGCUUUUCAACCCGGGUUUCACCAUAUGUUUCUCAGGAUUUUUCUUAUUAUAUGUUGAUUAGAAUGGCCUUCGUAAUGCUAAAUGUGGGAUGGAUGCAGUUGAAUCUAGAAUUAAGGCCUGUGAUCUUGCUAAAGAAGCUCUUCAUCAGCACCCAUUAACCCCUCUAACACUUUCAAAGGCUAUUAUUGUUGGAUAUUUGGGUAUAUUUUCCAUUUAUUGGCUCUUUUGUUUUUUGAGGUUUUUUGCUCAGCUAAGAGUAACUCUUGGAAUCCGUCAUUUCUAUUAUAAUAGUCUUGAUGUUACAGAUAAUGAAAUUCAAACCAUUCCAUGGGCAGCGAUUCUUGAAAAGGUUGUCUAGCUACAAAGUUCGCAACAGCUCUGUGUGGUUAAGGAUCUUUCUACUCAUGAUGUGGUGAUGCGAUUGAUGCGAAAGGAAAACUACUUGAUCGGAAUGCUUAACAAGGGAGUACUUGCAUUUCCAAUCUCAAAAUGGGUCCCUGGUGCUGGUCCAACUGUCAAAUCUGGUUCAAAGGGAAAGCGCCAUCGUUUGAUACUGACUAAAACCCUUGAGUGGACCUGAAAUUGGUGCGUACUA